GACGAACGCUGGCGGCGUGCCUAAUACAUGCAAGUAGAACGCUGAAGCUUGGUGCUUGCACCGAGCGGAUGAGUUGCGAACGGGUGAGUAACGCGUAGGUAACCUGCCUGGUAGCGGGGGAUAACUAUUGGAAACGAUAGCUAAUACCGCAUAAGAGUAGAUGUUGCAUGACAUUUGCUUAAAAGGUGCAAUUGCAUCACUACCAGAUGGACCUGCGUUGUAUUAGCUAGUUGGUGAGGUAACGGCUCACCAAGGCAACGAUACAUAGCCGACCUGAGAGGGUGAUCGGCCACACUGGGACUGAGACACGGCCCAGACUCCUACGGGAGGCAGCAGUAGGGAAUCUUUGGCAAUGGACGGAAGUCUGACCGAGCAACGCCGCGUGAGUGAAGAAGGUUUUCGGAUCGUAAAGCUCUGUUGUAAGAGAAGAACGAGUGUGAGAGUGGAAAGUUCACACUGUGACGGUAUCUUACCAGAAAGGGACGG
rnacentral:rRNA from 1 species